rnacentral:rRNA from 1 species
CUCCUACGGGAGGCUGCAGUCGGGAAUUUUGGGCAAUGGGGGAAACCCUGACCCAGCAACGCCGCGUGAAGGAUGAAGUAUUUCGGUAUGUAAACUUCGAAAGAAUAGGAAGAAUUAAUGACGGUACUAUUUAUAAGGUCCGGCUAACUACGUGCCAGCAGCCGCGGUAAUACGUAGGGACCAAGCGUUGUUCGGAUUUACUGGGCGUAAAGGGCGCGUAGGCGGCAUGGCAAGUCACUUGUGAAAUCUCCGGGCUUAACUCGGAACGGCCAAGUGAUACUGCUGAGCUAGAGUGCAGAAGGGGCAAUCGGAAUUCUUGGUGUAGCGGUGAAAUGCGUAGAUAUCAAGAGGAACACCUGAGGUGAAGACGGGUUGCUGGGCUGACACUGACGCUGAUGCGCGAAAGCUAGGGGAGCAAACGGGAUUAGAUACCCCGGUAGUCCUAGCCCUAAACGAUGAAUACUUGGUGUCUGGAGGUUUAAUACUCCGGGUGCCGUCGCUAACGUUUUUAGUAUUCCGCCUGGGGAGUACGUACGCAAGUAUGAAACUCAAAGGAAUUGACGGGGACCCGCACAAGCGGUGGAGCAUGUGGUUUAAUUCGACGCAACGCGAAGAACCUUACCUGAGCUAGAAUGUGAGGGAAUGUUGGGG